AACUGAUACUACCUGCGGGAACCUGCGGAAGGAUCAUUAACAAGUCCAUGCUGCUGCUGCUCAUUCUUGCACAUGAACGUGCAAGGAUAGUAGCAACAUCUGUUCCAUGUGCAUGUUCACUCUGCGCAUGACAUUUCUACGAGUCAUCUGAUGUUGUCAUUGGAAUCGUUGGCAAAUAACUUUUAACAACGGAUCUCU
rnacentral:misc_RNA from 1 species